UACGUAGGGUGCGAGCGUUAAUCGGAAUUAUUGGGCGUAAAGGGCGCGUAGGCGGAUUGAUAAGUCAGAUGUGAAAUACCAAAGCUCAACUUUGGUGCUGCAUUUGAAACUAUCUCUCUAGAGGAUUGACGGAGAAAGCGGAAUUCCACGUGUAGCGGUGAAAUGCGUAGAUACGUGGAGGAACACCGGUGGCGAAAGUGGCUUUCUAGUUUAUACCUGACGCUGAGGCGCGAGAGCAAGGGGAGCAAACAGG
rnacentral:rRNA from 1 species